AUAUAUAUAUAUACAUAAACAUAUAUAUAAUAUGUAUAUGUAUAUGUAUGUAUGUAUGCAUGUGUGUGUGUGUGUAUAUAUAU